GUACGGAGGAUCCGAGCGUUAUCCGGAUUUAUUGGGUUUAAAGGGUGCGCAGGCGGCCAUUUAAGUCAGCGGUUAAAUCGUGGGGCUCAACCCCAUUCUGCCGUUGAUACUGGGUGGCUUGAUUGCGGUCGAGGUUGGCGGAAUUCGUUGUGUAGCGGUGAAAUGCAUAGAUAUGACGAAGAACACCGAUUGCGUAGGCAGCUGACCAGACCGCAAAUGACGCUCAUGCACGAAAGUGCGGGGAUCGAACAGGAUUAGAUACCCUGGUAGUCCGCACAGUAAACGAUGAAUACUUGUUUUCGGCGAUAUAAUGUCGGAGGCAAAGCGAAAGCGAUAAGUAUUCCACCUGGGGAGUACGCCGGCAACGGUGAAACUCAAAGGAAUUGACGGGG
rnacentral:rRNA from 1 species